UGUGUGUUUGUUUGUUUGUUUGUUAGCUCUCCUGUCAGACAGCUCUCUCAGGGGUUGAGUGGAAAAUCCCUGCAACGGAGCUGCUGUUCCAUUAACAUUCUCCACAACAGGCAGCCCAAGCCUUCACACACUGCCGCAGCAGAAGAAUUUCUUUAUCGCUAUCACUCUGUUUCCCUCCCUUUCCCUCGCCACGUCUUUCUCUAUCACAUUGUACACAUUUGUAGGUGUUUUUCACCUCACUCCAUCUCGGUGACCCUCUCCUCCUGUCUCACGUUCUCAAUCUUUGUUCAUUGUCCUGUAGAUUUCCCUCAGAGAGAAGGCUGAAACCAGCAGAGCAGCGCCAGGCGCAUUACACCGUCCUCAGCGUUUGACCGUUCGGCCAGGGGCAAGAUUAAUUCACCUCAAUCUGACAUCAAGAAAUGAGGGUUUCCAGAGAUCAGAAACAAAGCUCACCCUCAGAGAACAGCCUGGGCAAUCAAAUUGCACGUGAGCUGUGUAAUCCAAUACCACCUACAGAUGCAGUUUUAUCUCCCAAGGCCUCCAUCUGCCACCCCAAGGACUGAUGGGACGCAUAGUGACACGGUCACCUCCUAAGGCACAUCCCUCUCUCAACUGCAACAGCCUGUCAAUAUUCCUCGAAAAAGCUGUCAAUCAAGCUGUCAUCUGUCCAGACAUGCAGACAAUGUGUUAAGGAAGGGCAGAAACUGAUGAAUGAUGGUGGUUCGGUGUCUCAGGCUGUGAUAAUGAUAAUGAGGAUUAUGGCAAGUAUGAUUCAUGAAGCAAAACGCUUCGACAUCUGUCCAGCAAAAUUAUGUUUACCGUCUUGAUUGGUAACAAAUUGAGAAAAAAAAAAAAAAAAAAUCGGGAAAAACAACGGUAGCUUAAAAUGCACUGAUUUAAAUGACAAAGUGUAUUUAUUGCAAAGUGCUUUGAGUUUAAUGAGCUAUUAAAGUAAUGAAUUAAUUGCAAUACUGAAUUCUAAUUCGCUGACUAAUCCUUCAUGCUAUAAAUGAGACUGUUGAAGCUUUCAUGUAACAAAUACAAAUUGUUCAUUUUAGGCUGAUUAUAUUGAUUUACCUUGUGAAACAUUCUUCAGGAAGAUGAAACGUGUUGCUGCUCUCAAUAAAUCGCAGUCCUUUCAAACAUACUCACAUAAACACAAAACAUUCCAAAACACAAUGGAGCUUAACAAUCGGGUUCUGGGAGUAAAAAUCUCAUUCUCUUUCUCCAUAGAGAAAUUGAUUUUUAACAAUAACUUAUAAACCCUUCAAGAAUGACCUACCAUGCGCUCUGAAGUUGUUAAGUGAUGAUAUUGAAGCCACUUCAGACUUCAAUUUCAUUUUUAAAAUAGCUGAUCAUUCGGUAACACUUUACAAUAAGGUCUCAUUUGUUAAAAGGUGCUAUAGAGGAUCUUUUCGU